GCUCAGGAUGAACGCUGGCGGCGUGCUUAACACAUGCAAGUCGAACGAAACACCUUAUCUGAUUUUCUUCGGAACUGAAGAUUUGGUGAUUGAGUGGCGGACGGGUGAGUAACGCGUGGGUAACCUGCCCUGUACAGGGGGAUAACAGUCAGAAAUGACUGCUAAUACCGCAUAAGACCACAGCACCGCAUGGUGCAGGGGUAAAAACUCCGGUGGUACAGGAUGGACCCGCGUCUGAUUAGCUGGUUGGUGAGGUAACGGCUCACCAAGGCGACGAUCAGUAGCCGGCUUGAGAGAGUGAACGGCCACAUUGGGACUGAGACACGGCCCAAACUCCUACGGGAGGCAGCAGUA
rnacentral:rRNA from 1 species